GGGUGGGACUUCCUGCUUCGCGUGCCGCUGGGCCAAGGGACAGAGCCCGCUCCUCCAGGCUGGUGGGGCGGUGCGAUGAGGCGGCUUCUGGGCCAUACGUCAGCACGUGGGGUGGCGCCGCACCCCUGAGGAUCCCGGUCCACGCGGAGGAGUGGGGCUUUUCACCGCCGCCGCCGCCGCCCUCGGACCUCUCCCGGGAUACUUCACAUUUCCCUAGGGACGGGAGCCCGAGGGGUCCGUUCGGCCCUCUUCCUCUCGCUGGGCCGACACCCCGCUGUAGGACCGUAACCCUUAGUCCCAAUGCCUCCGUAAGCGGAGUUGAGUGGGUGCCUGUGGUUGGAGCUGUGGAGGUGUCCCCGGUGGCGAGCGCGGCCAGAACUGCGGUCACUUAAGUUUUCCGUGUGCGGGUUGCAAGGAGCGUGCGUGCGUCUGGUAUAGGGAGGACACCUCUGGAUUGAGGAUCUUAUGACCUACUUUAGAGGAAGAGCCAGCUUUAGAGUUUGCCCCUCUGCUUAUGAAAUCCCUAUGGAAAAAAGGUAUAAUUUGGCUUCCUGAGAUUCUGCCUUAGCAAGAAAGGAGUGGGAAAUACCCUUGGAAAGAAAACUAAAACAGUAAGAAAGCCAAAACUUAUUUUUACAUGGUUG
rnacentral:lncRNA from 1 species